UAGUAAGAUGAAAAUCCGUUGACUUUUAAAAUCGUGAGGGUUCAAGUCCCUCUUUCCCC
rnacentral:tRNA from 1 species